rnacentral:rRNA from 1 species
UCGGGAAUUUUGGGCAAUGGGCGAAAGCCUGACCCAGCAACGCCGCGUGAGGGAUGAAGUAUUUCGGUAUGUAAACCUCGAAAGAAUGGGAAGAAUAAAUGACGGUACCAUUUAUAAGCUCCGGCUAACUACGUGCCAGCAGCCGCGGUAAUACAUAGGGAGCAAGCGUUGUUCGGAUUUACUGGGCGUAAAGGGCGCGUAGGCGGCGCGGUAAGUCACUUGUGAAAUCUCUGAGCUUAACUCAGAACGGCCAAGUGAUACUGCUGUGCUAGAGUGCGGAAGAGGCAACCGGAAUUCUUGGUGUAGCGGUGAAAUGCGUAGAUAUCAAGAGGAACACCUGAGGCGAAGGCGGGUUGCUGGGCCGACACUGACGCUGAUGCGCGAAAGCCAGGGGAGCAAACG